UGAUGCAGCCAUGCCGCGUGAAUGAUGAAGGCCUUAGGGUUGUAAAAUUCUUUCGCUAGGGAUGAUAAUGACAGUACCUAGUAAAGAAGCCCCGGCUAACUUCGUG
rnacentral:rRNA from 1 species